ensembl:lncRNA
CGAGAAGGCAAGGGGAGGUGUCUGCUAAAGAGGAUGGAGAGAGAGAUGGAGGUGUCUGCUAAAGGGGAUGGAGAUGGAGGUGUCUGCUAAAGAGGAUGGAGAGGAUGGAGAGAGAGAUGGAGGUGUCUGCUAAAGGGGAUGGAGGUGGAGGUGUCUGCUGUAGAGUUCCAUCUUUUCAUGUCUAGUGAUGAGAAGAGGAGGAAGAGCUGAGAUGAGGAGGAGAUGAGGAGGAGGAGGAAAAGGAGAUGAGGAACAGCUGAGGAAGCAGAGGAGGAGAUGAGGUGAGAUGAGGAAGAGGAGGAAUAAAGAGGAAGAUGAGGUGAGAUGAGGAAGAGGAGGAAUAAAGAGGAAGAUGGGGUGAUAA